rnacentral:rRNA from 1 species
UGAAGAAUUUGUCCAACGGCGGGGGAUAGCCGGCCCAACGGCCGGGUAAUACCGCGUACGACCACAUGGGGACAUCCCUGAGUGGUGAAAGCAGCAAUGCGCCGAUGGAGUGCCUCGCGGCCUAUCAGCUAGUUGGUGAGGUAACGUCUCACCAAGGCGACGACGGGUAGCUGGUCUGAGAGGAUGGCCAGCCACAUUGGGACUGAGACACGGCCCAGACUCCUAGGAGG